rnacentral:tRNA from 1 species
CACAGUGUAGCUUAAUAUAAAG